rnacentral:rRNA from 1 species
AUUGAACGCUGGCGGCAUGCCUUACACAUGCAAGUCGAACGGCAGCACGGGUGCUUGCACCUGGUGGCGAGUGGCGCACGGGUGAGUAAUACAUCGGAACAUGUCCUGUAGUGGGGGAUAGCCCGGCGAAAGCCGGAUUAAUACCGCCUACGAACAACGGAUGAAACCGGGGGACCUUCGGGCCUCGCGCUAUACGGUUGGCCGUUAACUGAUUAGCUAGUUGGUGGGGUAAAGGCCUACCAAGGCGACGAUCAGUAGCUGGUCUGAGAGGGCGACCAGCCACACUGGGACUGAGACACGGCCCAGACUCCUACGGGAGGCAGCAGUGGGGAAUUUUGGACAAUGGGCGAAAGCCUGAUGCAGCAAUGCCGCGUGUGUGAAGAAGGCCUUCGGGUUGUAAAGCACUUUUGUCCGGAAAGAAAUCCUUGGCUCUAAUACAGGCGGGGGAUGACGGUACCGGAAGAAUAAGCACCGGCUAACUACGUG